GAAACUAGGUAUCUUUAGGGUCCCUUCCAAUCCAAGGCAUUCUAUGUUUCUGUGAAAUUUGCUAGAGUGGAACUGCAGACUCCCCUAAACUCAAGUGUGCUCAAGAAAUUGGUUCAUUUUAUGUCUCUCACUAGAAGAAGUCCUUUAAUUCAGCACUUGGUUGCUGCUGUUUCUGGUCUAUGAAAUUUCCUGCCACUUUCUGAACUUUCAUUGUGUCUGCAGGCAUUGCAGGAUUUAGCAGAGCUUUUGUAUGUGGCACUGAGGAAGGCUUUUGCCAUUUAGGCGGCCCUAUGUGUUGCACUCGGGUUUUGCCCGUGAGCAGCAGUAGUAUCAGUCCAUUGAGCCAGUGUAUUUGUGGAACUAUAAAUCUGUCACUACUCUGUUUUCAAGUCUUGUUUAAGGUUACACUUUAUAUCCACGCAAAAAGCCAGCAGUUACGGUAACAGUGUACGCAAUAAAUAAACACACAAUCUAGAAAUCUGAUGCUAGACACAAGCACGGACAAAAAGCUGCAAGCAUCCCUUUAUCUGAGAGCCUGAAACAUCGUGCUACAGCAAUAUGCAGACAAGCAACAGGAUUCUGAAAUUCCAAGUGAGCUCCACGGGACGUGAGCAGCUCCAUUUUCUUUUCCCAGCACGGACUGCAGAAAAAGCGUCUCCAAGAGAGCCGGCCGCCGCACGCCCGUCUGUCGGGCACAGGGCGGGGGCAGCUGCCCCCCCCCCCCCAGUCGGCGGGCGCCCGCGAGGGGCGCGGCCCGAGCCCCGCCGCCGAGCAGCACCGGGCUGCGAGCUCCGCGCCGCGCCGCCCCCCGAGCCGCCGUGCCCGCCCCCCGGCCUGGCGCUGCCGCGGGGCGCGAGCAGCACGCUGCGGAGGCGGAAGUGAGAGUCUUCACCUAUCCAUCUGUUGUUCUAAAGUUACCCAGAAUUUUGUGCAACUUGCAACACAGAGAAGAAGCUGAGAAGAGCAGUGCUCACACAAAGCCAAGGACUUUUCAGCUUCUCAUGCUGCCCUGCCAGAAAGGAGACUGGGGAUGCACCAGAAGCCAGGAGGGGACACAGCCAGGACAGAUAUGAGAGAAAUGGGAACAGGAGGAAUUUUGGAAUGAUGCAAAGAGAAGAUGGAAAGUAGAAAACAUUCCAUGAAGAAAUAAAGAGAAGAGUAAGAAGUGCUGAAAUGAAGGACACGAAUGAAACUAUUUUGUUCCAAAAGUUGCACUAUAGUCGUGACAGAAAAUGAACACAGAUAUAGUGUGCUGUCUUUAUACAGAAAUCAGCAUUCCACAAAAAGAAAAGUCAAACCAACACAAAAAAUACAAACACAGAAAUAACUAUACUAAAUUCAAGAACAUAUUACUUAGAGAAAACACAACCAUUAAAAACUUGGAGGAACAAGGACUAGUAGUGAUUUUACUUUGCACUGACCAGCACAUGUAUUUCUGUUUCAGUUAUGUGAACAUCCCCAUUUUAUUCUGGAUUUGCUAAUACUAAGGUGCUAGACAUAUGACUGAUCUAUACUGCUCAUUAGUCAGUUACAUGUAGAAAGCUCAGCUUUAUACAGUACUGUGAUCAGAAGACACAAUAGCUGUCCUGCAUCCUGCCCAUAUCAGCCAGGGUGCUAUUUUUUCCCAUGAUGGUGAAAUCAGCACUCCCUCUACCUCCCAAAGGGCCACUACUUUCUUACUUCAGCCUUAUCACUUUUUCACCACCUUUGUCUCCACAUUUUUUCCAUGUGAGAUAGCCUUCUGUGAGCAGUCCAUGUGGUGGAACCCUGCGUGAAUACAUGGACAGAGAUGGCAGGCUCAAGUCUGAAGAUCUUGUGGAGCGUAACAGUCAGGAACUGCCCACUGCUAGUGUGGGUGAGCAGCGGCCAGUUGUCAUGCUAUUCAUCUGCUGAAUAUCUAGGGAAUCCCACAAAACAGGAGACAUUCUUCAAAAGAGGCAACUGAAGUAGGCUAAGAUACAAGACAACUCAGCACAGUUCUUCAAGACAGUUAUUAAUCACUCCAAAGAUAAAGCAAGUUGGACAGGCAGAACGCCAUAAACAGGAAAGCCCAAAGCAGUGUACUACAGUGAGGUGCCAGACCCAUUCAUUUUUUGUCAGAUCAUGUCAGAGCAAAGGCAAACUGCCCCAGACAGCUAUGAAAAUGUAUUACUUGUUUGUUUGUGUUUUCUUUUUCUUUUUUUUUUUUUCCUCACCUCUAUUUUUUGAAAGAUCUGAGCAUGAAAUCUGUGUAGCCUAAGCCUGUUUAGCCUUGCAGCACACAGGCACAGCAUCAGAGUGAGUUUGUGGCCAAACCUUGUUCAGACAACUUGCAAAGCACCAUUCUCAUUUAUGUGCUCAGUGCACACAAGCUCUUCAUCAGAGCUCUCUUUACUAGUACAAAGGAAAUUACUGCAAUCUUUCAAAGAAAAACAAAACAAAGCAAAACAAAAAACAAAAAAAAAAAAAAAAAAAAAAAAAAAAAAAAAAAGCGUCAGCCUCAGAUGCCUGGCUUUUUCUUUGGCUGAACUCCCAAGUAAUCCCAUCUUUCGUAGUUAGCAGGCAUUUACCCUUUCAUGUUUAUUUCCAUAUCAUGGCUCCUUUUCACUUGGGCCCUUAAAAUACUCUGCUAGGACCUCUGCUCCUCCUUCAGGUAUAAUAGCCCCUUCCAUGAGCUCAAAGACAACAGAAGGAGCUUCUGAGCUCCAAAAUUAGUGCUGCUUAUAGCAUGAGUUCUUUGCAAAGCAAACACUUUAGCCAAAGGAUAGAGUAUAAUUCUUGCAGUUCAAUGCUUAGAGACUUCAGGAUAACUCCUUAGAAAAGGACACCUUUUCCUGAUGAAAAAUGAAGAGUUUGCUGAGGGGUCCUGACAACACCUUCCUCCCAAUUCCCUUUCAAACAUUUUACUUUGAUAAGCAGGAAAGACUGGUGUAAGCUCAGCCCUAUCCGUAACAGAUACAACCCAGCCAGGCCACUAGGAAUGUUAAAGGGCUGGAGAACUUCUCUUGUAAAGACAGGGUGAGGGAGUUGGGGUUAUUUAUCCUGGAGAAGAGAAGGCUUUGAAGCCUUCCAGUGUUUAAAAGGGCUCUAGAGGAAAGAGGGGAGGAUGGGCAAGUGGGAUUCUUUAUUAGAGAAUGUAGUGGUAGGAAAAGGGGUAAUGAUUUUAAGCCAAAAGAAGAUAGGUUUAUGUUAGAUAUUAGGAAGAAGACUGACUGCCCGUGUAGUCACUGCCAACCUGCAUAUGAAAACUUCUGUGGAAGCAAUCUGCAUUUGUGGUUGAGCAGCCUGGUUCCUCCAUCUCUUUACAUGUUACCUGAGUACUAAGUAGCACCCAGUGAGUAAAACAGCACUUCACAUCACAACCUCUUCUUCAGCACAUGCUGUCGCCACAACCCAUCCUCCUCCUGUUUGCUGUAGGCCUCCUCCUUCAGUAUUUCUUCUGUGCAUAUGUUAAGUUUACGUGGAUUUGCAAUAAUUACAGUGGGGCUAUUCACUGCAUGUGAGACACAAUGGGAAACCUGACCCGUCUAUCUGCAGCUGACAGUAAUAGUUCUUGUUUCGGAGCUGCUGUGACAGGGUCAGGACAUCUGUAAGGCUGGAUUUCUGUUGAACUGUUUCAGCUCUUUUAUUUAUUUCAUGUUAGUGAUGAUGAUAUAGUGCAGAAUAAUGCAUGUCAGUCCAUAAACGUUAAUGACAGAGUUUAAUUCUUAAAUUCUAAGGUGUUUAUAACUGUGAUAUUAGUCUUGAAAUUUCAUAUUGACAGUGCUUAAUCUGACAAUGCAGGUAUUUAUUUAUAUAGUGCAGUAUUCAUUAGGAAGUGGGACCUCCCAGUGAUUUUUAUUGUCAUUCACCAA